rnacentral:tRNA from 1 species
GUACCGAUUGGCGGAAUGGUCUACGAGCUCACCUUGUAAGUGGAAGGUCACGGGUUCGAGCCCCGUUGGGUGCA